GAUGAACGCUAGCGGAAGGCAUAAUACAUGCAAGUCGAACGGAUGUAGCAAUACAUUAGUGGCGCACGGGUGCGUAACGCGUAUGCAACCUACCUUCAUCAGGGGGAUAACUACUCGAAAGGGUGGCUAACACCGCAUAAUACUACUGAAUGGCAUCAUUUGGUAUUUAAAUCUGAGGAGGAUGAAGAUGGGCAUGCGUCUGAUUAGCUAGUUGGUGUGGUAACGGCGCACCAAGGCGACGAUCAGUAGGGGAACUGAGAGGUUGGUCCCCCACACUGGCACGGGGAUACGGGCCAGACUCCUACGGGAGGCAGCAGUAGGGAAUAUUGGUCAAUGGUGGGAACACUGAACCAGCCAUUCCGCGUGCAGGAAGAAGGGUCUCUGACUUGUAAACUGCUUUAGCAAGGGAAGAAAAAGCUCAUGCGUGAGAAAUUGACGGUACCUUGAGAAUAAGCACCGGCUAACUACGUGCCAGCCGCCGCGGUAA
rnacentral:rRNA from 1 species